GGAUUAUAGCUCAGGGGCAGAGCGCUUGCCUGGCAUGUGUGAGGCACUGGGUUCGAUUCCCAGCUCCA
rnacentral:tRNA from 1 species